rnacentral:sRNA from 1 species
UGAUUCUAUUAACUACUUCAUUUGUUGG